UGGGGAAUUUUGGACAAUGGGGGAAACCCUGAUCCAGCCAUCCCGCGUGUGCGAUGAAGGCCUUCGGGUUGUAAAGCACUUUUGGCAGGAAAGAAACGUCAUGGGUUAAUACCCCGUGAAACUGACGGUACCUGCAGAAUAAGCACCGGCUAACUACGUGCCAGCAGCCGCGGUAAUACGUAGGGUGCAAGCGUUAAUCGGAAUUACUGGGCGUAAAGCGUGCGCAGGCGGUUCGGAAAGAAAGAUGUGAAAUCCCAGGGCUCAACUUAGGAACUGCAUUUUUAACUACCGGGCUAGAGUGUGGCAGAGGGAGGUGGAAUUCCGCGUGUAGCAGUGAAAUGCGUAGAUAUGCGGAGGAACACCGAUGGCGAAGGCAGCCUCCUGGGAUAACACUGACGCUCAUGCACGAAAGCGUGGGGAGCAAACAGG
rnacentral:rRNA from 1 species